GCUAAUUUAGCUCAGUUGGUAGAGCAACUGACCCGUAAUCAGUAGGUCGUAAGUUCGAAUCUUAUAAUUAGCACCA
rnacentral:tRNA from 1 species